UUUAGACGCCUGUGUCGCUUAUUAAAAGAUUAUUGUGUGGUGUACAGUUAGAAAAUCAAGAUGUGAGUGAUCUAGUAAGUGUCUCUUGACCAUUGACUCCGCUUUUCUUUUUUUCUUAUUAAACGUAGUUAGGUUUAAUAUUUGCGUGGUAAUAUGAGUGAGCAAAAUGUUCAAGUGCGGCAAAAAAUACUCUGCGGUUAACAAGUCGAUUUACAGGGGAAAGAAAAAUGGUUUGUAUUCGUGUUUGUGACAUGCAGCGGAUGCUGCCUUAAUACAGUGCGACGUUAAAGACUUACGACGUACAAUGACUGGAACAGCUAGGUAUGUCACAUGGAGCACUUAACUAAACAAACUUCGUUCUCGGCUAGAGUUUGAUGGAAGCUAUCGAACUGUUCACCAUUCCACCGCCUUACAGAACCACCCACUGUCACUGUUUUGAAGCCACAGUUGCUUGCACCAUUCUCCCAGAGGUGGACUUGGGGAUGUAUUUGGGGGCGGAGUGAAACAGUUGGUCAGAACUAGUCGUACAGCAGUCAUACAAUUUUGAUGCAAAAGUGAACCUGUAAACAUGAUAAAAUGUGGACGUCUCUGGAGAAACCUCAGUGUGUGGGGCCCAUUAGAUACGGACGAUACCUGAUACCCAAAUGCAACGAACCUUUCAGACUUGGGAUACAUCAUUUAUGGAAACAGGAGUUCCUGUUACAUAUACAGCACUUGACACUGCUUGUGAGAAAACAUUAUUAACCAGCACUGAUAGUCAACUUGGUCCCUAGCAUCCACUAGUGGGCGCCUCCACCUCCAUAGCAGCCAGUAGACAGUUGGACCCUAAAAUAUUUAUAUUAGGGUUUCACAAAACUUUGAAAAAAAUAUUUGGUCAUACAAUUUUGAUGCGAAAUGGAACCUGAAAACCUGCUAAAAUGUGGAUACCAGUGGAUAAAGCUCAAUGUGUGUGGCCUGGUAUAUACAGAUGAUAUCAGAUACCGAAGUGCAAUGAUCCUUUCGGACUUGGAAUACAUCAUUUAUGGAAACAGUGCUCACAAGACAUUUACAGUGGGGUGUGCAGUUGAGAACAGUUCUCCAUCUACCCCUCAGUGCUCACCAGAAUUAUCCAAAGUGGAGCACUGUGCCAAUUCCAAGAAGCAGGCCAAAGAUGUCCUGGUAAGCAGCACAUUUUCAAUGCUGCGAGACAAACAAACAGCAAUGAAUGGGAGCAAUGAGGAUGACAAGUUGGGCGAAUAUGUUGCAGCUGAGCUGAUAACAACUAAAAAUAGAAAAUUAAAUGCAGAGGCAAAGUGAAUGUUAUCAUGAAUGCCAUCAUGGGUGCAAUUCAGAAAGUUACUGAUUGUUAAUUUUUAAAUAAAAGAUUGAAAAU